CUGACACCUUCGAGCAGAAGGGAAUAGAGAUGGAACAUGUCGGUGACGGCGAGCUGUAGCCUUCUUUCAUUUUUUCUACAGUGCUCUUUGUGACAUGGAUCCCAGAAUCACUGACACCAAAGGAGCAUUGGAACGGUGCCCAUAUCCAGACGUCAGAUCGGCUCACGUGACUGAUGGUGAUGCUGUUCUCUCAUUUCGGCUGUUUGUGGCAAUGAAACGGCAGCGAGUGCAUACUUGAGGGGUGUCUCUGGAUGCAAACAACAUACUCCUCUUGAAAGAGGGGGCUUUUCGUGGUCCCAAGUGGCAGGAGGAAUGCAGUUGUGGCAACAAUCGCCCUUCCUCGAUUUAAUACACUCUCGACAUCAUUUUUCACCCGUUCUGGUCAGUCCAAGUGUUCAACCAUAGAGAAAGGUCCUUGUUCUAUGGUUCAACUAUCUAACUUCGCCUUCGCAAGGUUGAUGGUGUUUCUUUCGAACUCGAUGGACGCAGAAACCUUUAGCUGAAGUUGUGGUUGGCAUAAUCUUGACAAGUGUUGAACCAACAAUGACAUGAAAUCUUCAGGGUUCAAUUUAUCUUUGCCGUCCGAAUUCCUUGGAUCGUCGUCCGCUGGGUUGGAUCGUCGUCCGGCUCCCAGAGUCUUUCCCCCGGGCACUGUGCUGUUCGCUUGACUGGUUAUAGUGGCGCAGACCAGAUACAAAUUAUUCAUUCACUCGUUUAAUUCCCAAAAGAGGUGAAACAUUAGCAAGUACAAAAUAGCUUAGGUGAACAAAUGUUUCAUUCCCUAUGCUUGACAAAAGAAGCACAGUUACAAAUUAUCUCCUUUCCCGAUUUUAAACAAGUCAAGUUCUACGACUUGGGCUAUACUGAAACCAAUGUGUCUGGUAGAACCCUUUUAUCAAGUACAGGUGUCUGAAAAUUGAAAUAACUAAAAGGCAACCUUAAAUUACGAUUAACCCCUGUUAGUGUGCCACAGAUGGAUUGUUUAACGACAUUAGUGACCCCAUCGUACUCCAAAAAUUUGUUAUGAUAUUGAACUAUAACUUACAUCUUCAGACACACGAAAGGAACUUUUACUAUCAAGAUCACGACUCGUGCAAACUGCUGCGAAUAUUUCCGGUUGCCACAUUUGCUUCGCUUUCGCUUGAGGUGUAAAAUAAUAUUAAUAUAGCUGCAAUGAAUAAAAAACCUCCAAAAUGCA